UAUAUAAUCCUAAAAGGAAUGCAAAAACAAGGACUUGGAAAAAUAAAACAAGGAAAGAAAAAAUACCACAGACUUAUCGAUAAUUUGAUCCCCACUCCUUGGCUCAAUAAGACUUCUGAAAACUCUUGCUCUUCGAAGAACUUGAAGAAGCUAAAUUAGCAAAAAUGCCAAUAGAAAAAAAGCCUAAGCUUUCAAGGAUUCUCUCAAAUUGAUUGUAAUUAGUGUGUUUACAACC
rnacentral:lncRNA from 1 species